UUUCUUCAUUAAAAAAAAUCUAUAUUGUUAAGAAAAUAUCAACUAAAAAGGGAAAAUCAGAAACAGCUGGGAAACAGAUCAACCAGUGAAAUCUUCUACAUCUGUAUUCGAUUUGUGAAAGUUUCACAUCCUUGCAGCACUGUUCAGUGUAAAUGGUAAAAUGGCAUGAUUGUCAUGGAAGGACAUCUUGUUCCAAAAAAAGUGAAAAGCUGCUUUGAUCAAGUACCUUGACAGCUUGAAAUUUUUCAGACUUCACUCAGCCAUGAUUCCUAAAUACUCCCUGAUGGGACCGUUUAAGGGACAUAUGUGCACAAAGAGCAGCCGGUCAAGAGGCACAGGAGUGUUCUCCUACGCCCACAAACAAACUGAGCCAUUGCUGGGUAUUUGAAGCCUCCCUUGGAUCAGGCCAUUUCCCAAAUCCACUUUGGCUGGAUUUCAGCAUGGGAACUGGCUGAUUUCCUACCUUAGCACCUCCGCUGCAGCGGAUUGCUUACUUGGCGCUUGGAGCUCGGUGGAAGCAGUCAAAUAAUGCCUGAACCGAGAGUGGUUUGGGCCUCCUGAAGCCAUGAAGCUGCAGCUUUGGGAAGGCACAACCAUUCUUCUUGCCUGGUUUGGGCGGAAGUUGAAGAUCAGACCUGGAAUUUCAAUUACAGAGAAUAAAAUGGCAGAAAAAGAUUUUUCUCAAAAAUAUUUUGAGUGGUUUAAUUGAUGUACCUUUUUAUUAGUAUGGCCCCA